UAGGCGGUUUGUCGCGUCUGUCGUGAAAGUCCGGGGCUUAACCCCGGAUCUGCGGUGGGUACGGGCAGACUAGAGUGCAGUAGGGGAGACUGGAAUUCCUGGUGUAGCGGUGGAAUGCGCAGAUAUCAGGAGGAACACCGAUGGCGAAGGCAGGUCUCUGGGCUGUAACUGACGCUGAGGAGCGAAAGCAUGGGGAGCGAACAGGAUUAGAUGCCCUGGUAGUCCAUGCCGUAAACGUUGGGCACUAGGUGUGGGGACCAUUCCACGGGUUUCCGCGCCGCAGCUAACGCAUUAAGUGCCCCGCCUGGGGAGUACGGCCGCAAGGCUAAAACUCAAAGGAAUUGACGGGGGCCCGCACAAGCGGCGGAGCAUGCGGAUUAAUUCGAUGCAACGCGAAGAACCUUACCAAGGCUUGACAUGUUCUCGAUCGCCGUAGAGAUACGGUUUCCCCUUUGGGGCGGGUUCACAGGUGGUGCAUGGUUGUCGUCAGCUCGUGUCGUGAGAUGUUGGGUUAAGUCCCGCAACGAGCGCAACCCUCGUUCCAUGUUGCCAGCACGUAAUGGUGGGGACUCAUGGGAGACUGCCGGGGUCAACUCGGAGGAAGGUGAGGACGACGUCAAAUCAUCAUGCCCCUUAUGUCUUGGGCUUCACGCAUGCUACAAUGGCCGGUACAAUGGGUUGCGAUACUGUGAGGUGGAGCUAAUCCCAAAAAGCCGGUCUCAGUUCGGAUUGGGGUCUGCAACUCG
rnacentral:rRNA from 1 species